GCAAGUUGUCACAUUGUAAAAAGUUCCAGUAGUCCAGUUGAGAAGAGGCAAAAUAAAGACCUUACUUGGUAAAAAUUGCUAAGAAGAAAUUUCUUUCACAGAAUGAUCCAAAAUAUGCUAAAACUACGACAUCCAAAAAAAUCCAACAAAAAAGUGCGUUGCGAGUCUAUUUUUUUAUAACAAAACGGUCAAAAUUGUUGUUUUAAGCAAAUAUAUGAUCAACUGUAGUACCCAGAUGAAAAAAUCCUUCGUAGUAGUAUGUAGUUAAAACUAAUGGAUAAAAUAAGUCAAUCAGUAGACUCCUACGUGCUAUAAAUCUUUAAUUAUCUAAAAGUUAAUUAAUUUUCUCCGUAAGGUAAUGUUUUUGUUGAUCCGCCAUAUUGCUUG